UGCAGAUACCAGGAAAAAAGCAAACCUAGUGAGGGUGUGAUUGCUCUGUGCUGGUCUGAAACCUCAAGUUACAGAAGCCCAGUGGGAAGAGAGAAAGAGUUAAAUGGAUGCUUGGGAGGCAUGUUGGCUGGAGCUGGCUGAAUAGAUUUUUAUUAGGUGCUGAAGAUGUCUUCCUCUGGACUCACCUUGGUUGCUCCCCCUCCUCGAUGAAUCUUUUCCUUUAAGUCACUUUAGGAAGCAGCAGGAAUUCUCCUGCAAGAGAUGAGGAUUCAUGUCAGGAUGACACUGCUGAGGGUUCACAGUACAUCAACACAGCUGCUGUUUCUGUUGUCAGACAAUCCUCUACACAUUGUGAAUCUGUCAUGAGAAGAGGCCUUACCCCAUUCAUUGUCUUAGGAAACAGUUCUGCUGGCUUCAGAAACAUCAAAAUAAGCUGUGUUUUCUAGAUUUUUGGUUCUUCUCAGAGCUCCAUCUAGCAGCAGUCUGUCCUGUCACUUAACAACUUUCUGGAAGUCAUGUGCUCAACACUGGACCCUGGUACUUUAGCUGAAGCUUUACCCUGGCUACUGAUGGCUCUUGCAGUCCCUCUUGCAGGGCUGUUUUCAUCACACACGGCAAUGACUGCUUUCAACAUUUAAUUACCUGCCAGCCUCAAACAACACCCUCUUUCUUCGCAUUAGAAAUGGAAACACGUCCUCUGCAGGAAUUUUCCACUUAAUAGCUCCUGCUUUCCUACCGGGGGCCUCAGUGCACCACCACUGCAAUGCUGUAUUUCUUUCCACUGCAGUUUGACAUUUUGCAGCCAGAACAAGGAACGGCAUUCACUCCAUCCUGAUUUUUGAAAAACAUAUCUCUAUAGGCCCACAGAAUGCACCCAGUGCAGCAAUCACCAGGGGAAAAUGGCAAAGGUAUUUAAACAUCAUUACAUGUCACCAAGACUAUGACACUGUCUGGUAAAAAUGCUCAUUUAUACAAUUGCUUUUCCUUACUCCCCAUUCCUCCCCCCUCCAACCCUUUAUAGACACACACAGACACCAAACCUCUGCCCUGCUCUCCCAUCACCAGCCACUCUCUCAUUUUACACUUGCUUGUAAUUGUUUGCCUUUGUGAAUUAUUUCCUUUGCAUAAUAGUUGCAAGCUAUGUAUCAGGUCCUGACACUGUGAGGAGCAGAAAUGCACAUUGCAGGUAAUCAGAGCAGUAAACAAGGAGCCUGCUUUAAAAUGCGCCGAGUGACCUGUCUGAAGGCAGCAAUAUUUGCAGAUUGUUUACUGCUGAGAUCCAGUGAUGUCGCUGAAAUGCAGCAGCUUGAAGAUUGGAGCAAAAUGGGAUCUCAGGCACUCGGUCAAGCACAACCUGUAAUUUUUUUAUUUAUUGUUCAUGUUCUGCUUUUUUUAAAGUUAGAGCUGUAUUAUAAAUUAUUAAAAGCUG